rnacentral:lncRNA from 1 species
GGAGGCUGCUGAAGGGGAGAAAGGAGUGAGGAGCUGCUGGGCAGAGAGGGACUGUCCGGCUCCCAGAUGCUGGGCCUCCUGGGGAGCACAGCCCUCGUGGGAUGGAUCACAGGUGCUGCUGUGGCGGUCCUGCUGCUGCUGCUGCUGCUGGCCACCUGCCUUUUCCACGGACGGCAGGACUGUGACGUGGAGAGGAACCGUACAGCUGCAGGGGGAAACCGAGUCCGCCGGGCCCAGCCUUGGCCCUUCCGGCGGCGGGGCCACCUGGGAAUCUUUCACCAUCACCGUCAUCCUGGCCACGUAUCUCAUGUGCCGAAUGUGGGCCUCCACCACCACCACCACCCCCGCCACACCCCUCACCACCUCCACCACCACCACCACCCCCACCGCCACCAUCCCCGCCACGCUCGCUGAGGCUGCUGUCGCCGGUGCCUGUGGACAGCAGCUGCCCCUGCCCUCCCAUCUGUUCCCAGGACAAGUGGACCCCAUGUUUCCAUGUGGAAGGAUGCAUCUCUGGGGUGAACGAGGGGAACAAUAGACUGGGGCUUGCUCCAGCUGCAUUUGCAUGGCAUGCCCCAGUGUACUAUGGCAGCAGAGAAUGGAGGAACACUGGGUCUGCAGUGCUGAAGGGUUUGGGGAGUGGAGAGCAAGGGUGCUCUUUCGGGGCUGGACAGCCCGUCUUGUGACAGUGACUCCCAGUGAGCCCCAGAAAUGACAAGCGUGUCUUGGCAGAGCCAGCACACAAGUGGAUGUGAAGUGCCCGUCUUGACCUCCUCAUCAGGCUGCUGCAGGCCUCUGGCGGGCAGGGCACUGGGAGAGGCCCUGAGAAUGUCCUUUUGGUUUGGAGAAGGCAGUGUGAGGCUGCACAGUCAAUUCAUCGGUGCCUUAGUCCAAGAAAAUAAAAACCACUAAGAAGCUUUUGUGAAGAGGCUCUUGAUUGCAGCAUAGUGGGAGGGAGGGAGCUGCCUGGCCUGUGUCCUCAUUGCCCUGGGACCUCCCUCUCUGAUGGGAAGCGUGUGGCUGGAGCAGGCGAAGGUUGGAGCCGCUGCGAGCCUGGCUCCCCAGGGCUCUGCCCCUGUACUUUUUUCAGCCCAUGUCCAGGGCAGACUGAGCUCUGAAACUCGAGGAAGCCCCAUCCACAGGCUGCCUUGAAUCCAGUUUCCUUGGUAAUUGGAUCAGGGUUUCUUCUCCAAGCCUUGCGUUUUCAGCCAUCCUGCCCCAGCUGGUGCCUGUGUGUGGUGGGAGGGCUGGGAGGCAGCGAGUGGAGUUCUUUAAAGUGGAGGCUGUGGUGCUGGGGUGCAGGGUGUUGGAUGGCCUUGGGAGAAUGCUGGGGUCUCACUUUCCUCUUCUCUGCAAUGGGGUGGAUAACAGAGAUGCCCACGUGCCGAAGCCUGGAGGCUCGUUGGAAUAUGCUCUGUGAACAGCUAGUGGGAUCCACAGCGAGGAAGGAAGCCUGGCUCUGAGGCCUUCAGCCUGUGCCUGUGAGCUGAGGUGGGAAUUGGGGGAAGACAAGGACUGGGGGCCAGGAGAGGCAGUGGGGAGGGGCUGGAGAGCAGGCCAGAGACUCAGGGACCUGGUGACUCACUGGAAUAGAAUGUCCUCUUUCCUUUCUAUUUCCCAGUGGAUUCUCUGUGAGGGCUGCAGGAGGAGGGAGUGAGAGAGAGAGGGAGGCAAAUUCACACUGAUUUCUCCCACCUGAGGUUUCUGGGUUGGGAAAGUUGACCCUAGGCUGCCGUGCAGUGUCGAUUUUCUCUGCAGUGUCCUUCAAAUCCACCCCCUUCUCCAUUCCCAUGCCCUGCCUAGCCCAGCCCCCUCCAUCCCCCUCCUGGAUUCCUGCCAGCCUGCUCCCUGCAGCCCUGCCCCUUUCCCAGGCAUCUCCAGGCUGAUUUCACAGAUGAAUCAAAGAUGGGGAGGAGGUUCCCCGAAAGCAGGAAACGGAAAAGGAAGCCUAUGCAGGGCAGGAGAGAACCCGCUGAGCAAUUGCCCUUUAUUCCAGUUCAAAAAUGCGGAACCACUCAGACAAUCUGCAGGCGGCCUAUGGCUGCGUGUACACAGGAAGAAUAGGCGAUGAGAAAUCAAAGGAACAAAUGUUAAAGCUUGAGGCAUAGUCUCCUGGUGCCCUCUAUCACCCCAGUUAAGGAGGUGAUGUUGGUAACUCAACCUGAAACCACAGGCCCUGCAGAUCAGCCCGUCGUCUCCUUCCUCCUGGUCAUCCCAGUUAAUACAAACAAUCCAAGGAAUUGGCUUCCUGUCAUGGCCCACAGCCUGCUCCAUGUGGAGGAGGAGCCCAGGGCCCAGAUGGUCUCAUCAUCUCAGAAAAGGGACAGAUUGAGAAUAUGACAGGCUAUCGUUUGCUCUGAAAAGUUGCUCUCCCAUUCUGUGCAAAGUGCCAGUUUCCUAAUGCUGAUACUAAAGAAAGUUCCCUUGGGCCUUGGAGAAACUGAAAAGGACCCAGGCUAUGUGAACUUGGGCCAGCCCUCUGCCCUUUCUGGCACUUUGCACCCAGAUCAUUAAAACCGCAGAAUCAGAUGGUCGCUCUGUGGUCCCAUGGUAACUGGAAAGUGCACUGAGCUAGGAGUGGAGGGAGGGCGGUCCCUCCUCGGCCAUUGCUCGUGCCUGUUAACAUGGCUAAUUCAGAAUGGGGGGCAGGUCAUUUAACUUCUAUGACCAUAGGAUCUUUUUCUAUAAAAUGGAGGCUAUAUCGCUAUGCAGGGUUGCUGGGGAGGUUAUAUGAGAUCAUGUCUGGUGAGGUCCCAUGCCUGGAGUUAUUGUUCUCACUACUCUGUUUCCCAGAAUAUGGACAAAGUGGGGCUAAUAGCCCAGUCUCCUUUCUGGAAGUGGUGGGGGUCUCAGGAGGUGCUGGGUGUGAAAGGGCUCUCACCUGGCAGACUAACUCAGUUGCCUGGGCCUAGCUUAUUCCCCUGACCUCCUGGCAGGGAGGAGGGUGGAAAAGGCCUGGGGUGCGCAUGGCGGGACGGGAUAACUGCUGAGCGGGGGUUGGAGGGCUGCAGUGUGGGUCCUGGGCCCUCGCUCACAAUUGGAGGAAAGAAUUCAGGAAGUGCUCACAGCUGCUCAGACAUCUCGGAGCCAAGUUCCAACCAGGACAGAGGCUGCAGCACCCAGGGAGGAACGCCGUGGUCCCUGGGACGGCCACCAGGCCAGGAGGCUGCAGCACCAGGUACAGCCAGGGCUGGCCUUUGGGGAGCCCAGGGUAAAUCUUAAUAGUUCAAGAAUGUGAGCAACGGGCUAAGCAGGCAGCAAAGAGGGUGGGUGAGGCCGGCAUCUAAGAAGGCUCUUCCGGGACCUCCGGGUAAAGAGCCCCACGGUCAUGGACAGGGCAGGGAUUCCCGGGGAAGCACCUGAUACUCUAUCUAAACUGCAUGAUCCCAGCGCCAUGCAGAAAAGGACGCCAAAUGCAACCUGCCCCUGCCUCCAGCCCCCACUAAAGGCCCUGGCACCUGGGGUGACCCGUGAGUGUCCCCUGCCUUGCCCAGAGCUGGCGCAUGCCUUCCUCCCUCCUCAUGUCCCUGCCCCCAGCACAGGGCCAGGGGCUGGGGAGGCAGCAGAUAGGCCAAUUGAAGGACUGGCCCAAGGUCCCUCCUGGGGAGGAGCCGGGCUCCUCCUGCAUCCAUAGUAGGGGGAGUAUUUUGUCUUUGGUCUGGGCGUAACUUGCUCUUGAAAUCUGUAGGCGUCACCGGAGGGCCAGCGCUGGCUAGGCUGUCUCUGUGCAACGUCUUCUGACCCCUCCUCUCCACCUUCUCUGUGUCCAGGGAAUCUGUGCUCACGUCUUCCAGGACAGUGCUUCUUCUAGAAGCUGACAUGGAGCUGACCACAGCUCUUGGAGGCAUGGCCUGAGGCUUAGAAAAUAGACAGAGAUCAUCUGAGAUUUCAGCAGUGGGGCCACGUGGCAGCGCCCGAAGGCCUGGAGCAGGAGCGACCCAGGGACUCAGAGCAGCAUCUUCUUAGGAGACGGAAGGAGAGCCGCCGGAGGAGCACGGGGCACCUGCGAUCGCGAAGAGCCUCCUGUUCUGGAUGGGAGCGAAGGCUCCGAGAGGACCUAAGGUUGCUCAGUGGGCCAUGGAAACGGCAGUGAUUGGGGUGGUGGUGGUGCUGUUCGUGGUGACUGUGGCCAUCACCUGCGUCCUCUGCUGCUUCAGCUGUGACUCAAGGGCCCAGGAUCCUCAGGGGGGUCCUGGCCGCAGCUUCACGGUGGCCACGUUUCGCCAGGAAGCUUCUCUCUUCACGGGGCCUGUUCGCCAUGCCCAGCCAGUGCCAAGUGCCCAGGACUUCUGGACCUUCAUGUGACGCCCGAGUCCCCAGGAUUUGCUGUGCUGAUGGGUCAGACUCACCCGCUCCUCAGCAAGCCUUCCCUGGCCUUCCCCUCCUCCCAGGGCCUUCUCCCUGUCCUUCCCCUCCAGUAACCUGUGAACUUCCCGUCUCCUCCCAUUCCAGCCUUCUGUGCCCUCCAGCCUCAGGGAUCCUUGUUAUUGGGACAGCCCAGCUGGGGUUGACCCACAGGAUGGGGCUUAGGAGAGCUCUGAGGAGUGAGUGAACAGACAGCGCCGGAGUGCACGGUGGGCCGGCUCUGCUGAUCUACACCAGGAACUGAAAUAUCACUGGAAUUUAUUGUAAACGGUGUGCCUAUGAUGCUGGUUCUGUUGCCACCUGGGCACGCAGCACCCUCAAGUGGACAUUUCUAGAAACCGCUUCUUACUUGCUCCUAAUUGAUUACUUUUGCACAUUGCACAGAACCCAACCUCGAGGCCUGCUCCCUGCCAGUUGCCUGAAAUCAGCCCUGAAAUUCUGAAACCAAAGAGCUGCUUCCUGAGAACAAGUUAUUUACCUUAGAAUUGAAAAUGUAUAUCCUUUUAUGGGCCUUUCCAAAUCUGAUUAGAAAAACCACAAAAGGAAACAGAAGAGAAAAUAAGAGCCACAGAAAGUACAAUAUGUUUUAUUAACAGGAAAGCCAGAAAUAAGAUAUUUUAAACAUAUUUUUAAUGAGACUUUAUUGCUAUAUUCCAACAGGUCACUCCUAUUCUUAGAGAAUGUGAAUGACUUGUGUCACUUCGGAGUGACAGAAAAAUCAGGAACUGAAAGAUAAUUCCAGACAAGUUAAAAUGUUAUGUUACAUUCAAAGCUCUUGUUUUCAUCACAAAUAAGGGGAUAUUCAGUUUUUAUUAACAGAAAACCCAUUCUCCCAUGGCCAUGGAAUAAAUGCCAUGCUAUAUUUAAGGAGUUUGGUUUGAAGGGUGCAAAAUUGUGAGCCUCCUGGCUCUUAUGUCUGUAUCCAGCCCUGAAUAGAUGGCUCUCCCAGGACCUGUUUGUUGAGGGGGGCAGGACUGAGCUUUAGGGGGGCUCUGGCCUCUAAGGGUGUCCAGACAGGCUGCCCUUGCCAUGUGGCUGCCAUGGGAAGGGCUUUCAGAGUGGCUUGGAGCUGGAGAGGUGCACGCGGGGAGGGGGAAGUGGUGGGGAGAGUGAGGCUGACGGAGAGGGAUGGGGAGGAGCAUGGUGGGCGAGGCUCAGCCCAGGUCCAGGAGCUCCUGGGACCAUGUCCUGGACACUCCUGACACCAGCCCUCGACGCAGGGCCUUCAGAGAUGCACAGAGAAGGGAACGGCACAUGUGGGGAGGCCCUGGAGACGGAGGGAAGAGAACUUUUGAGGGCUGUGUUCUCUAAAAGCGAACAGUGAGACAAAGUUCGGGUGCAAGAUAUUUGUCAGGGAUCAACACCUACAAAGGGGAGAAGGAAGAAGCAGGAUUGGGCAGAGGAAGAAGUCAAACCGUGAUGCAGGUCCUUCAUAUCCCCACCUUUGCUCCGUCUCUGAGUCCCUCUCCCCUCUCCCAGGGUCUGACCUCAGCCAGGGCAGCUCUCUGCAGCUGAGGCAGGUCUUGAAGCCCUUCCUAUUUUAUUAUUUUUAUUUUAUUUUAUUUUAUUUUAUUUUAUUUUAGGAGAUGGGAUCUCACUCUGCCACCUGGGCCAGAGUGCAGUCGUGUGAUCAUAGGUCACUGCAGCCUCAAAUUCCAGGGCUCAGUCAAUCCUCCCACCUCCGCCUCCUGAGUGGCUGGGACUAUAGGUGCAUGCCACCGUGCCUAGCUAAUUAAAAAAUCCUUUUCUUGUAGAGAUGGGAUUUCACUAUGUUUCCAAACCUGGUCUUGAACUCUCCUGGCCUCAAGUGAUCCUCCCACCUUGGCCUCCCAAAAUGUUGGGAUUACAGGUGUGAGCCAUUGCAUUUGGCUGAAGUCCUUCCUUUGAAGGGGACCUGGGCAGCACAUCUCCACAGAAACUCUGUAGGGUCCUGUUCUUGGAAGAGCCUAGACUGGUCAGAGGUGGGUGAAUAUGUCCAGACACAAAGAAAAACCUGGGCACAGGAGAUCUAUGAGAGGAGAGACGGCCGUGCAGGAUCUGGAAGGGAGAAGAGUGGGCCUCAGUCUCCCUCUCUCCUCAGCCAGAGUCAGCUCUGCUCCAGCUCAGGCACCCUUCACCAGGAGCCAGGCCCAGGGCUCUGCUCUUGUACUGUGUGGUCACAGCACUCACUAGGUCAGUCCGGGAGGGUCUGCAGGCUGGAAUCACAGGGCCGUGAAAACAAAGUGCUGGUGAAGCGGGCAUGGGGAGGGAGCCUGGCCUCCCUCUGCAGGAGACAGGCUGUCUGCCAAGCCCGGCACGCUCUUCAUUUGUUCACCUGCCCAUCUGCCCAUCCAUCCACCCACCCAUCCAUCUACUCCUGGAGUAGAUGCCGCCUCACUUACCCAUGCAUUCAUUCACUUAUUCAUUCACUCCUCCGUUCAGUAAACACUGACUGGGCACUGACUGUGUACCCAGCCCGGCCAAGGGAACGUGGGGGUCAACUGGACAUUUGGAUCCCGUGGACUCCUAGAUAAGGCUGUAUGUGUGUGGUGUGUUUUAUGUGGGUAUGAUGAGUAUGUGGUGUGUGUGUAAGCUGUAUAUGUGUAGUGAGUGUGUGUGGUGUGUGUUUUUGUAUUCUGUGAUGUGUGUGUAAGCUGUAUGUGUGUAGUGAGUGUGUGUGUUUUUGUUUGCUGUGGUGUGUGUGUAAGCUGUAUGUGUGUAGUGAGUGUGUGUGUUUUUGUUUGCUGUGAUGUGUGUGUAAGCUGUAUGUGUGUAGUGAGUGUGUGUGUUUUUGUUUGCUGUGGUGUGUGUGUAAGCUGUAUGUGUGUAGUGAGUGUGUGUGUUUUUGUUUGCUGUGGUGUGUGUGUAAGCUGUAUGUGUGUAGUGUGUAUUUUUUUAUGCUGUGGUGUGUGUGUAAGCUGUAUGUGUGUAGUGUGUGUGUUUUUGUAUGCUGUAGUGUGUGUGUAAGUUGUAUGUGUGUAGUGAGUGUGUGUGUUUUUGUUUGCUGUGGUGUGUGUGUAAGCUGUAUGUGUGUAGUGUGUGUGUUUUUGUAUGCUGUGGUGUGUGUGUAAGCUGUAUGUGUGUAGUGUGUGUGUUUUUGUAUGCUGUAGUGUGUGUGUAAGUUGUAUGUGUGUAGUGUGUGUGUUUUUGUAUGCUGUGGUGUGUGUGUAAGCUGUAUGUGUGUAGUGUGUGUGUUUUUGUAUGCUGUGGUGUGUGUGUAAGCUGUAUGUGUGUAGUGUGUGUGUUUUUGUAUGCUGUAGUGUGUGUGUAAGUUGUAUGUGUGUAGUGAGUGUGUGUGUUUUUGUUUGCUGUGGUGUGUGUGUAAGUUGUAUGUGUGUAGUGAGUGUGUGUUUUUGUAUGCUGUAGUGUGUGUGUAAGCUGUAUGUGUGUAGUGAGUGUGUGUGUUUUUGUAUGCUGUAGUGUGUGUGUAAGCUGUAUGUGUGUAGUGAGUGUGUGUGUUUUUGUUUGCUGUGGUGUGUGUGUAAGUUGUAUGUGUGUGGUGAGUGUGUGUGUUUUUGUAUGCUGUGGUGUGUGUGUAAGUUGUAUGUGUGUAGUGUGUGUUUUUGUAUUCUGUGAUGUGUGUGUAAGCUGUAUGUGUGUAGUGAGUGUGUGUGUUUUUGUAUGCUGUGGUGUGUGUGUAAGUUGUAUGUGUGUAGUGAGUGUGUGUGUUUUUGUAUGCUGUAGUGUGUGUUGGCCCCAGGUACCCCUGCCAUUCUCCGCAGUGUAGCCUGCUGUAUAAGAAGCAGGAGGGGCCCAGCAACAGGGCAGCGGAAGCCUCUUGCUAUGACGGUGGCCUCUUCCUAUUGUCCCCAAGGGCAGGAGGUGGCUGUGCAGGGACAAGACUGAGGCUGGCGCCAACAUGCAGCAAAGCCGGGAGUGCUUAUCUGGUGGUAGUGAGGGAAGCGGCUGUGCAAGGUCACCCUGGAAUCUGGGGUGGAGCCACACUCAGGCCUCCCAGCUUCCAAACCGAGCAUUCUCAAUUCUACUUCUCUUGCUGGUUCCAUUUACUUGCCUUUUUUUUUUUUGGAGACGGAGUCUUGCUCUGUCGUCCAGGCUAGAGUGCAGUGGCAUGAUCUUGGCUCACUACAAGCUCUGCCCCUGGGGUUCAUGCCAUUCUCCUGCCUCAGCUCCACAGGAGCCCGCCACCAUGCCCUGCUAAUUUUUUUGUAUUUUUAGUAGAGACGGGGUUUCACCGUGUUAGCCGGGAUGGUCUCCAUCUCCUGACCUCGUGAUCGCCUGCUUCAGCCUCCCAAAGUGCUGGGAUUACAGGCGUGAGCUACCGCGCCCAGCCCAUUUACUGGACUUUUAUGACACACCAGGCACAUUGUGCUUCCUCUGUGUCCUCUCAUGAGUGUAUACAGCAACUCCAUCACCUCCAUUUUACAGAUGAGGGAACCGAGCCCCCAUGCUUUGAGCCACUUUGGGCAAAUACCAAAUCUGCAGAACAGUGCUAAGUAGUCAUUUUCCUCCAUAAGUGAUAUCUGCAUCCAGCCAAUUCUCAGGGACACAGUUCAUAUCUUCAGGAGGAAGGGAGCCAGGGGAUCUGAUUUGCUCCAGGUUCACCUGAGCAAAAGCCUUGCUGGCACCUACCCAUCUGCACCUUUUUUUUUUUUUUUUUUUUUUGAGGCAGAGUCUGGAUCUGUCGCCCAGGCUGGAAUGCAAUGGCACGAUCUCAUCUCACUGCAACGUCCGCCUCCUGGGUUCAAGCAAUUCUCAUGCCUCAGCCUCCCGAGUAGCUGGGAUUAAAGGUGCACACGACCACCCCUGGCUAAUUUUUGUAGUUUUUGCAGAGAUGGGGUUUCACCACGUUGGCCAGGCUGGUGUCAAACUCCUGGCCUGAAGUGAUCCACUGGCCUCGGCCUCCCAAAAUGCUGGGAUUACAGGUGUGAGCCACCACUCCCGGCCCCAUCUGCAUCUUUGACUUGAAGAAGAAGCAGGUCUUUGCCCUGUACAGUUUUAAUUGACAGUCCAGGAAGCCUCCCUCAUAGAGUAAACUUCUGUGGACGGCUGGAAUUAAGGGUUAACAGACAUCAGUCCUGACCCAGCCUGCUUAAGGCCUUCCUAAGGCUUUGCACCUGCAGAGAUACAGGCCGUGCCUCUCUGAGCAAUGAGUCUUGCUUCUCCUUCACUUCCUGGGGCUUCUCUCAGCUCCACAUGGGGCAAAGAGCAGGGAGAACCCUGCUCAGUUCUGUCUAGCCCGACUGGGACGUGGAAAGGCUAAUCCGAGCCCCACUUCUGCCACUCAGUUGCUGGGCCUCAGUUUCCCUGGCUGUACGGAGAAGGUAAGAAUCCCAUCCCGGCUUGUCUAGAGGACGUGUUAGAGUGAAGAUCCUGGGAACCCAGCUGUCAGGAACGGUCAAGGGAAAGAGGCCCGCCCCGCUCUGCCUGCCCUCCUCCCCACCACCUCCAACCCUCGCCCUGCUCUUUCUCCGCAUUCCUGGACCUGAAACCAGGGUGGCGUUUCUCGCUGGGACAGGCUGGAUUCUGGAAUCUAGGAGGCCUUGAAAUAACAUGUUUUCCGGAAAAGUACCUUCCUUAAAGGAAACUGCUUGUUCCAGGGAGUAGAAAAGGAUCAUUGUACCUUGCCAGGUCCCCAUUCCCCUGAGGACAUGACAUUUGAAAAGGCAGACUCAGUUGGAGACAGAGACCUGCACCCCCUGCCCUGUGCCUCCAUCCAGCAUAUUCGUAAUAGUGAAAAGUUAGAAACCACCUCGACACCAGCAGGAGGGGGCUGGGCUGGCAAAUUGCAACACAGCCACAGAAUCAAAUGCUAGGCAGGUGUUAACGACAAUGAGGUAAAUUUAAACUCAUUAACCUGAAAGGGCAUUUAUCAUGUGUUGGUAAAUUAAAAGGGAAUUAGAGGACUAUAAAUGUAGCUGCACCCUUAGACGCAUAGAAGACGAUGUGGAGAGCUGUAUGCCGAGGUGUUGAUAGGCCAUUGUCUCUGGGUGGGUGGGACUGUUUGUGCAUUUUAUUUUUUAUUUACUUACUUUUUUUUUUUUUUGAGAUAGAACUUUGCUCUCUUUGCCCAGGCUGGAGUGCAGUGGCACGAUCUCGGCUCACUGCAUCCUCUGCCUCCUGGGUUCAAGUGAUUCUCCUGCCUCAGCCUCCCAAGUAGCUGGGACUACAGGCAGGCGCUACCACACUUGGCUAAUUUUGUAUUUUUAGUAGAGACAGGGUUUAACCAUGUUGGCCAGGCUGGUCUUGAACUCCUGACCUCAGGUGAUCUGCCCACCUCGGCCUCCCAAAGUGCUGAGAUUACAGGCGUGAGCCACUGCGCCUUGCCUAUUUGUGCAUUUUAAAUGUUUUCCCUUUGUGUUUAUCUGAAUUUCUCAUAAUGAAUGAUUUGCUCUUGAAUAAGAAAGAGCAAGAACCUAACAAAGGAACAAAAGUUAUUUUAAAAAUUAUAAAACAAACCAACUCCAAUCUAAGAGAUACAAAAACACAGUCAGGCAUAGACACAAAAAUGGGGGCAGAUGAAUUUCUCAGAACAGAUACAAUGAUAAGGACACACACACACAUACACACAGACACACACCUCUCUUCUGCCUAAUUCACAUGGCUGAGGUAGGCAAGGCUGGGGAGUUGCAAGCGGUAGGGGUUUGCCAAGUUUCCAGGAACACCGGAGUCUGGGUGUUGGGGUGGCUGCUGGAGCUUCUGGGCAGGUUGGGUGGGCUGAGGAGAGUACAGGGAGCAGCCUGGGGCUCACUAGCCUGAGUGAGAGGCCUGGCUGUACGACACCCAGCCUGCACCUCCUGGGACAGGGUAAGGCUCCUAAUCCCAGCUCCCCAGUUCAGGCAAGACUGAGGAGCCUGCCAAAGCAACUCUUCCCCAUCCCAGCAGUGGAGGGAGACAGCAGGGUCCACAGCUGGGGAGGAGCUUCCUGGCAACCACCUACGACUUCCAGGCUGAGGCCUUGUCAGCUGCCUACGGACCCCACUUAGGAAGCCAGGGCUGUGGUGGCUCAUACAGGGACCCUCUGUCCUUGUCCUCCUGAGAUACAGGCACAGCCACAGCCCUGGUGUGGGGCCUGGCCUGAGGCAAGGGGUGGAUGCAUGUCCUCCAUCAUCCCCACUGUCACUGUGCUUGCGCAGACCUCACCAUGUCAUCUCCUUAUGGGCCUCCCUGGCCUCACCUCACCCCUGCCCACCCGGCCGCCAGAGAGCUCUUUCUUGGACACAGACCUAACUCCUUAGAGGGCUAUUGGGUGGGUCUCUGUUCCCACCUUCAGAGUUCGCUAUCUGUGGUAGGCAUAAUAAUCAUCCCUCAAAGAUGUCCAUGUCCUAAUCCCUAGAAGCUGAGAAAAUGUUAUGUUCACCAAGGGGAAUUAAGAUUGCAGAUGAAAUCACAGUUGCUAAUCGGUAGACCUUAAAUAAGAUUAUCCCAGAUUAUCUGGGCAGGCCCAAUGCAGUAAGAAAUGUCCCUUCACUGUGGAGGAGGAGGGCAGAGGAGUCAGGGCAGGUGAUGUAAGAAAGACCUGAAGACAGAAGCAGGCCACCAGCCAAGGAGUGUGAGAGUCUCUAGAAACCAGAAAGGAAAAGACAAGGAAAAGCAUUCUCCCCAGUUGCCUCCAGAUGGGAACAUAGCCCUGCCAACAUCUUUUUUUUUUUUUUUUUUUGAGACUGAGUCUCGCUCUGUCGCCCGGGCUGGAGUGCAGUGGUGCGAUCUCGGCUCACUGCAAGCUCCGCCUCCCAGGUUCACGCCAUUCUCCUGCCUCAACCUCCCCGCCCGGCUAGUUUUUUGUAUUUUUAGUAGAGAUGGGGUUUCACUGUGUUAGCCAGGAUAGUCUCGAUCUCCUGACCUUGUGAUCCGCCCGUCUCAGCCUCCCAAAGUGCUGGGAUUACAGGCGUGAGCCACCGCGCCCGGCCUGCCCUGCCAACAUUUUGAUUUUAGCCUAGUGAGUCCUAUUUUGGUCUCUGAUCUCCAGAACUAUAAGAUAAUACAUUUGUGUUGUUUUAAGCCACUAUAUUUAUGCUAAGUUGUUAUAGCAACAAAGUAUUCUUAGCUCAACCAUUAGUGCUCACAAAGACUUAGCCUUGAAUUAGCUCCUCUAGUUAAAUCUAUUCCUGGCCGCCAAGAGACAGAGAAAGGUGGCCUCUGAGGGGGUCAGGUCUUACAGCUGAAGAAGGCUGUUGGGUCUGGAGUAUGGGUGGGCUGACCACUUAGAGAUAGGGAAGGGAGUCAGAAAUUACAUUUCCUAGUAAGUAGGAUGAGAGUGAUAAUGUGACAAUUGUCAGGCCCUGCACCAGGUGUUGGGCAAUGUGCAAACCCAGUCAUCCUUAUCCUUACCCUACAGAAACACCCACGCAAGUGUGCAAGCAUGUACGUCCAAGGUUGUUCUUACAGUAUUGUUUCUAUUAGCAAAACAUUAUAAAAAUCCAAGUACCCAUCAAUUGGGAAAUACAUAAAGAUUAUGAUACAGCCACAAAAAAUGGAAUAAUAGGCAGCCAUUACAAAAAUGUACUGACUUGGAAACUGCCCUCUAUACAUAGAGAAAAAACAGCAAGUUACAGAAUGGUCUCAUAAAACAAAAACAAAAACAAACAAACCAAAAAACACUUUUCCUCCUCAAGAAAACAAAAAUAAGAACAAAAAAACCUCCUAAAUUACACAUAUGCGUAUGUGUUUGUAUGAACCUAGGAAAAUGUCAGGAAGGAUGUGAUGGCCUCUGGGGGACAGGCUUGGAGGAAGAAGGAAGCUUAUGUUUUACUUCAUAUCCUUCUGUCCUGUUCCACCUUAUUUGAACAAGCAUGUGUUGCUUUUUAUUACAAUGUUAAAAGGAAAAAUCCUUAGACUAACUAAGUUCAACAGUUUACUUGACCAAUUAAAAUGAUUCAAAACAAAGAGAAACAAAAAACAAUUUGGGAAUCAGGCAGCCCCCCAGAACCAAAACAGGUUCAGAGAACUUUCAGAGAACUCAGGCCAACACCAUGAUCAGGCAACAUUUGUAGAUAGAGAGAGAACAGAAGUGAGAUACAGAGACAACUUAAUUGGUUACAGCUUAAUUGGUUGAUUAGUUCUACCUAAACGUCUUACCUUAUUCAACUCAGCUGACCUACUGUAGUUCAUUAAGUUCAGCUGUGUGACUCACUGAACCUCAACCAUUUGCAAGAAUAUAUUCCUAAAGUAAUUAGUUUCAUUAAGCGUGAUGGCUUCAUAUUGGUUUGGUCUGCUAGGCUCAGUAAAGGACACUAAUUCAAAUCAAUGGCCUCCUAUUUUAACACAUAAUAACUUUUUUAAUGUUAAGAUAACACAGGUUAAGAAAGCAAACUUGACUGUCCUGUUCUGUGACAAACAGCUGUUAUUUGCAAAAAGGACUCCCUGGGUUGAGGGAGACCAGAGCUCCACUUAGCAAGGCCACUCAGGAAACAGAUGGACCAACUUGAGUUCUUUUUCUGUGUGAGCUCAUCUGGGGAAUGAGACACUGUGGAUCUUCUGAGUGGAAAAGUGGAGUCAUUCAAGCCCUCCUGGCUUCUACAGAGGUGAGAGCUGAAGUUCUGAAAGGGGAACUGACAUAUUCCUCUACAUUUUAUGGCACUUCCAGACUAAAAUAUAACUUUCUGGCCUCCAUUUCAGUGAACUUUGAACUUCCUCAAAACUCACACUCCCCUUUUCGUAAUCCAUAAUUUUUAUGUGAGGGAUAAAAUUUUCUGUUUUACAGCCUGAUCCUGGCUACUUACAGAAUGGCUGCACUUUAAACCCAAGGUGUUCUUUGCACCCUGUAGCCCCAGCCCAUAAAAGAGACAAACACUGGCAGAGAGAUGGUCCCAGGAGAGCAGCCGGGAGGAGGCACUGGAGUUCAGGGCUCCAGUCCCAGCUCUGCUCAUCUGGCUCCUAUGACGAGGGUUGUAUCCAGUGUGUGGACGUCCCCUCUCCUCAGGCUGGAAACCCUCUGAGGUCAGUGCAGAGCCUCGGAAUAGCGACAUUGACAUCUGUCUGGCACAUAAUGGCCUUCAAGGUGUCCUAAGUUUACAAAGCUCUUUCCCAGGCAUCUCUCAGUUGUCUCCCAUAACAAGCCUUGGGGCCCAGUAAAGCAGGCUGUAUUAACCGCAGUUUACGGAUGAGGGAACCAAGACUUAGAGACACAAAAGUGACAGGCCCCACUCCAAGUCACUCAACAAAUUGGUCACAAAGUUCAGCACAGGACCAUAUUAUCCCCUCUCCUUCAGCCAGAGCCUCAUUUUUGCCUCUUUUAUAUCUUCUGUUUCCCAGGUAGAUUUUGCUUGAUAAAAAGGGGUCUGCUGCUUUAAAAGGUUUGAAAGCUCCAGAAUAAUGUUUCCAAAUUCCCCGCGAAUACUUCUGUUCAGUAUUCAGGAAUGAGAAAUUGAAAUUUCUGGGAAUUCAUGAGCAUUCCUGAAAUUAUACAUUAAAUUUUUUUUUUUUUGGAGACAGGAUCUUACUCUGUCACCCAGGCUGGAGUACAGUGGUACGAUCAUAGCUCACUGCAGCCUCGAACUCCUGAGCUCAAGUGACCCUCCUUCCUCAGCCUCCCGAGUAGCUGAGACUAUAGGUACAUGCCUAUAGAGUGUGCCCCUAACAUCUUCAUGUUAGCCAUUAGGGUGCUCCUGGCUAUUUUGUUUUCUUCUUUUCUAGAGACAGAGUCUUACUAUGUGACCAGGCUGGUUUUGAACUCCUGGCCUCAAGCUAUCUUCCUGCUUCAGCCUUUCAAAGUGUUGGGAUGACAGGUGUGAGUCACUGCGCCUGGCUCAUAUUUUCUAUAACAUUAUAUUCACAUACUUUUAAAUAAUAAUGAAUGACCAGAAUAAUAAACAGUUAAUAAUUGUCAGUGACAAAUUGAUGCUAAAAGUUCCAGACUUUUUCCUUAAGGUUUAUUAUUAUUAUGAACCAAUAUGUUGUGACAAGAUUAUUUCAAUAACAUAAAAAUUAUCUCCACCUGAUAUAGGCACUGGAUAUAGAAAACAUUAAAAAGGAGGGAACAUUAUUGCAAAAUAAAUGCCAGAUAAAAAUCACUUAAAAAUGGAAAAAUAAUAGCACAAACAUUUAAUUUUAAAAGUUAUUUUUAAAAUGAACUUUUAAAACACAAAGCUUUAAUUGCUCUAUCUGAUAGUUUUGAUCUUUGUUUUGUGACAAAUAUUCUAGAUGUAGGAAACUUUUUUGUUUUUUCAUUUUUCAUUGAUGUUGGUUGAGUGUGCCCCUAACAUCUUCAGGUUAGCCAUUAGGGUACAUGUUGUUUUAUAGAAGCUCAUUUCCUUUUUAAAUGAUGCUUUAUUUUUAUUUUUACUUUUUGGUCUGCUUACUCUGGUCUUGAUUUUGCCAUUGAGAUCAAUAUUGCUCUUGCUAAUUCAGAUUUUAGAGCAAUUUCUGAUUUCCUUCUGGAGUGUUCUAUAACAGCAAUCACGUCUUCUUUUUGCAUCUCUUCUGUUAAAGUAUUUACAAAGAACUGUAGCCUAUAAUGAAUAUUCAACACGUGGAAAUGCCAGCAAUCAUUACUGGGAAGUGUUCAAAUAACUAACAUUCAGACUCACUAACAAGGUUCAUAGAAUCACUUGUUGGAAUUGCCAGUUUCAAGACUUAUUUUGCUUUCAAAAUUUGUUAUUUUUUUCCGACACUGCUCAUAGGACUUGUAUAAGUAUCCUAUGUGUACAAACUUACCAAUAUUUGUUUUAUUUGCAAAAAUGACUUACCAUUAGAAGCAGACCAGGUCACAAACACACACUUAUAACCAGUGUGUGCUGGUAAACUGACUCUCCUGGAGAAAAAAAAAAAAACCCUUAUAUGUAGGGUUUGCCAAAUUCUGAGGGGAGGCAUAAAUGUUCCCACAAUGGUCAAUGCCCAGCUACCGAGGGGAUGUCACUGAGAGCUGGGAAGAGCAGCAUACAACUGGCUCUUCUUGAGCCAGCGCUAGCCCACCACCACCUCUACCCUGGCAACAGCAGUCGGAAGACUGAUUAGAUGAUGGCCUUUUCUCUCCUCUACUCCCCAGUUCCAUUCAGAACUUAACUUUCCUAUGGGUGCCUCAGUAUUUUCUACUCUCGCUUUUGAUUUGGUGUCAGUGGAUUCCUUUGAACUAGUCACAUCUAGUUCAACAUGUUGAUUGCUAAGCUUUAAUUCUCACACAAAAACACUCUUACCAGGUUCCUAGAUGUCUUAACUUCUUUUUCUCAGGAAUUGGCAUUUGGAAAAACAGUAUUUCCGAGAAAUGCUGGGAAGGAAUUCCUGCAUAAAAACACAAAUCUGGCCGGGCACGGUGGCUCGUGCCUGUAUUCCCAGCACUUUGGGAGGCUGAGGCAGGUGGAUCAUGAGGUCAAGAGAUCAAGACCAUCCUGGCCAGCAUGGUGAAACCCCAUCUGUACUAAAAAUAUAAAAAUUAGCUGGGCGUGGUGGUGCGCGCCUGUAGUCCCAGCUACUCGGGAGGCUGAGGCAGGAGAAUCACUUGAACCCGGGAGAUGGAGGUUGCAGUGAGCCGAGAUUGUGCCACUGCACUCCAGCCUGGGCAACAGAGGGAGACUCCAUCUCAAACAAAGCAAAACAAAACACAACACAAAUCCAGGAAACCCAAGUAAAACCUAUUUGCUUGACUGAUCGUGAUCCUACUGGAUACAUUCUCCUGGGUCCCAAUUUUGGCCACCGCUCAUUUUCAUUGAUCUCAUUUUAAGGGGUUUGAGGUAUGGAGUCCUUAGGAUUUGGUGUUAAGUUUGGUGAUUUUUCAGAGAGGCCGCACCAGAGCUGCAUCGGUGAUCAUUUGACUUUAUGUCUGACCCUGUGCACAGGGGUCUACUUGUCUCCUAACCUCAGUUUUCCUCUUUUUCCUUAUUAGAAAAACAACAAUAACAUCAACACAGUCCCUCUUGGAACUAGGAAUGGCCAGUAGAAGUGGUGUGUGACUUCUGGGAAAUGUCCUUAAAUAGAGGCGGAAUACUCUUCUUUGUUUUUUCUCCUUUAUCUGGCCAGAAUGUAGAUAUAAUGGCUGGAGCUACAGAAGUCAGAUUGGACCAGAGUGGCCUUGGGAGUAGAAGCCCCAUUUGGGGGAACAAUAAGAUAAAAGGGGCCUGGGUUCCUGAUACUGUGGGAGCCCAUAUCAGUCCUAUACUGCCUUCUUCCAGGCUUUUAUACCAAAGCAAAACAGUCUUAUUUAAACCACUAUUGAUAUGUGGUUUUCUAUCACUCAUAACUGAAACAAAUUAAACAGCACACCAGUGCAUUGUAUUCUGUUACAUAGUUUAUGGGAGGCCAUUGUUUUGGACUAGCCUCCUACACUGGCCCUAGCAGAGCAGAUCAAACCAGAGCAGAGUCACCUGUGCUAACUGCCAAGUCAUCAAACCGGACUUUGAAAUGAGGCAGUUUUCCAAAAACGCAGGAGCUUCCAGUCACCCUGAAUCAGCACAAUAAAAAGUGCCCUCUGCUUUAACCCUAUAAGGAAAGCAACUUUGAAAUGACCAAUCUGCUUUUUGUUCCCUGUUUCUGCUUUCUUCAGCCCUCUUUUAUCCAUAAAGCCAAACUUCUCUGCCCACUUCACUGGAAUACUCAUUCUAUUUCGUAGAAUGAGGUGUUGCCUGAUUCUAGAAUCACAAAUAAAAGCCAAUUUGAUCAUUACAAAUAAUUUGUUGUAAUUUUGCCUUUGGGAAGUUCCUAGUGAAAGCAAAAGCUACUAGCAAGAAUCCUUGAAAGGUUUGUAAUGGAGGUGAAAAUGAAAGACUGUAGCAUUACCCAGUGACUCAGAGAGUGUGGGGGAGGCAGCUGCAUCUAGUGAUAAUGGAUGAUACAUUUGGAAUAGAAGAGGCUGUGGUUUCAUGCAUGCCUGUCUUCCCAUCUGCCAAGAAGGCUGAUGAAUAAGCUUUUAUACUCCUCUAAGUUGGUAAAAGAAGUUUUCAGAUUUUUAAUACUCAAAGGUCUUUUCACAAAUGACUAUGACCUUUUCUUUUCUUUUCGAGACAGGGUUUCACUCCCGUCGCCCAGGCUGGAAUGCAGUGGUGAAAUCUCGGCUCACUGCAACCUCUGCCUCCUGGGCUCAAAUGAUCCUCUCGCCUCAGCCUCCUGAGUAGCUGGGACUACAGGCAUGCAGCACUGCGCCCAGCUAAGUUUUGUAUUUUUUCUAGAGACGGAAUUUUGCCGUGUUGCCUAGGCUGCUCUGGAACUCCUGAGCUCAAGUGAUCCACCUGCCUUGGCCUCCUGAAGUGCUGGGAUUACAGGUCGGAGCCACUGCGCCUGGCCUCUAUGCCUGUGGUCUUUAGUUUGUAGGAACCAGACCACUCAAAGGCUGGAACGUACCUUAUUGCUCUGCCAGUGAAUGGUUUAGGAACUGGCUGAAGGAGCUGGGGAUUCAGUCUAGGAAGAACUUACAGGAGUUGGGAUUGGGUUUGAGAGCUGCUUUCACACAUCUAAGUAAAAAAGAUUUAGCCUUCCUCACAGAGGGCUCUAGGCCAAAACCAGAACCCAAAGGUGGAGGCUGCCAACUUUACCCUAAAUUAAAGAGAAACCUCCUACCCAUCAGAACUGGAUGGAGGUAGCUUUUUGAUAGCAACUCUCCACUGCUGGGAAUAUUUAAUCAAAGGAUGCAGAAGGAGUCAUUAACUGAGCAGCAGUUCCCAUAUACCAGCCUAUGUAUUGGUACCUACCUGUCUAUAACAUUUUCCAGGUCUCAGCCAGGCACGGUGGCUCAUGCUUGUAAUCCCAGCACUUUGGGAGGCUGAGGUGGAAGGAUCUCUUGAGCCCGGGAGUUACCAGCCCGGGCGACACAGGGAGACCCUGUCUCUACAAAUAAUUUAAAAAUUAGCCAGGCAUGAUGGUGCACACGUGUGUGGUCCCAGCUACUUGGAAGGCUGAGGAGGAGAAUCAAUUGAGCCCAGGAGGUCGAGGCUGCAGUGAGCUGUGAUUGUGCUACUGCACUCCAGCCUGGGUAACAAAGCAAGACCCUGUCUCAAAAAAAAAAAAAAAAAAAAAAAGAGAGAGAGAGAGAAAAAAAGGCAAUGUAGUACAUUUUAAAAAUAAAACUAAAUAUUUGCAAUUUGAAGUACAUUCUCUUUAUUCCAAGAUUAUGUUCUUUCUAUUUCAGGAGGUGUUAUAAUGUCUUUUUUUAGUAGUAGGUGGUAUUAGCUAUUGUUGUUUAACACCCUAAUUAGACAACAUAAAAUCUUGGCAAUCCUAUAUAAUUCCAUUAAAAUUUACACUGGCUAUAAGAUCUAGAAGUCUGGUAAUAUGGAUGAGAUGACACCUGGUUGUCUGAAUUGACCUUCCAAGGAUUAGUAGUUCAUUCGAGUGUCUACUAGAUGCCAUUUUUGUGUAUUUACAGCAACUAGAUAAUUUCAUGGUUCAAAUCAGAGAAACCAGUAAUGUGAUCCACGUGCUUAUGGUAACUUAAACUUUAUUGACUAUUCAUUUUUGACACAUAUAGCUACUUUUUGAUAGACAUGAAUUUUCUAUUUGCAUUUAAAAACAAAACUAAUUUUCAAAGUUCUAUUCUCAAAAUGGCAAUGAUGACCUUUCUAAAUGCUCUCUUUAAAUAAUCCUCCAAUAUUCUCAGAAAUUUAGUGUACCUACAGCAAACUAUUUCUCUUAGUAAAAGCCUUCUGUGAGCAACUUAACUGUCUGAUGUCUUUAUCCGUGUGAGCAGGGACUGGGUCCUGUCCUUUUUCUUUUUUUUUUUUGUUUGAGAUGGAGUCUCCCUCUGUUGCCAAGCUGGAGUGCAGUGGCAUGAUUUUGGCUCACUGCAACCUCCACCUCCAGGGUUCAAGUGAUUCUCCUGCCUCAGCCUCCCAAAGUAGCUGGGACUACAAGUAUGCGCCACCACGCCUGGCUAAUUUUUGUAUUUUUAGUAGAGACAGGGUUUCACCAUGUUGGCCAGGAUGGUCUCGAUCUCUUGACCUCAUGAUCCUCCUGCCUCGGCCUCCCAAAGUGCUGAAUUACAGGUGUGAGCCACCACGCCUGGCCUGGUCCUGUCCAUUUUUACAGAGCAGAGAGCAUCUAGCAUGCCACCACAUUAAUGUAAUGAUAAUAAUUUCCAUUUGUCUAGAGACUUAUGCUUUACAAGGCCCUUAUAGUUUACUUCCCCUUAAUGGUAGUUCAAGUAGCAGAGAAUGACCUUUUCAUUGUCCUUCUCUGUGAUAAGCCAAAGUGAAUGUAAUGUACAUUCUUCAUAGUGAAGGCUUUCUACCUCAUUCAUUUAUUCACAAAAUAUUUAUUGAGCAUGAUUAUGUGUUAAGCACUGAACUGUGCUCUGUGCUGCUGGGCACUGUGUGUUAGGUACAAACACGGCAGAUGGAGCCCCUUCCCCCAUGAAAUGAACAUUCUAAUGGGGCGUUAGUCAAUAAACAAAUAAAUAAAUAGAUUGUCAGGGGGUAAUGAGUGUUAUGGGGAAGAAUAAAGCAGUGGGAGCUGGGAAGCAAUGGGAGGAUGUCAAUCUUAGGGACAUGAGAAGGCACCCUCAUGCAGAGACUUGGGCAACGUGAAGGAUCGCCACUGUGUGACCAACUGGAGGAAGCACGUUCCAAGUCUUGUGGCAGAAAGGAGCUUGGCUGUUUGAGAAUCAGCAGUGAUAUCAGUGUGGCUGGAGGGAAGGGAAGGUGGGACGAGUGGGUGGGAGAUAAUUUCCAGAGGUGGACAGGAUGCAGAUUAUAUGGGAGUUUGGAUUUGAUUCUCAAGUGUGAUGGGACACUAUUGGAGGGUUUUGAGCUGGGGAGAGACAUGCCAUGAAAUGUGAAGUCUGGCCUGCAGGGAAGCAGGUACACCAACUGAAUGAGUUCAAUUUGGAGAUAUAUAUAUUUGAGAUGGAGUUUUGCUCUUGUUGCCCAGGCUGGAGUGCAAUGGCACGAUCUCAGCUCACCGCAACCUCCGCCUCCUGGAUUCAAGCAAUUCUCCUGCCUCAGCCUCCCGAGUAGCUGGGAUUACAGGUGUGUGCCACUACGCUCGGCUAAUUUUGUAUUUUUUUAGUAGAGAUGGGGUUUCUUCAUGUUGGUCAGGCUGGUCUCGAACUCCCAACCUCAGGUGAUCCGCCCACCUCGGCCUCCCAAAGCGCUGGGAUUACAGGUGUGAGCCACCGUGCCCGGCCCAAUUUGGAUAUAUUUUAAAGGACUACCUGAUGCGUUAAAUGUAGAAGAUGGGGGAAUGUAGAAUGCUCCACAGAGUUUUGUCCUGAGCAGCCAGGAGAAAACAAGAUGGAACCCAGUGACUGGCCACCAUGGACACAUGCAAGGGAGAAGGAGAAGUCCCCAGUAGGAAAAGGAAAGGCAUGCAGCAAGAAGCUCAAAAUCUACAAGCCAGGAAGAGAGCCCUCACCAGAAACGGAAACAGCUGGCACUUUGAUCUUGGACUUCCCAGGCCUCCAGAACGCUGUGCUGGCUAAAUGCUGCUGUCCCAGCUCCAGACUCUUCAUGAAGAGGAUCUGGCUUCCUGGCCUGAGGCCCAGAAAUCCCGAAGAACCCCAUAGAGAUGAACAAAUCAUCAGCGCUAUUCUCCAGUUGCUCAGCAGGGCAAGGAUUUGUGCCUGGCCUUCCAGGUACUUUUGGAGUAAGAGGAUGCUGAGGUUGACCUCUGAGUUCCUCCAGGUGACAGAGCAGAUGCACCAUGAACAGGUCCAAUGAGGCCUCCCCUGUGUUGGGGUUCGUUCUCCUGGGCCUCUCUGCCCACCCAUAGCUGGAGAAGACAUUCUUUGUGUUCAUCCUGCUGGUGUACCUGGUGAUCCUGCUGGGCAACGGGGUCCUCAUCCUGGUGACCAUCCUUGACUCCCGCCUGCACACACCCAUGUACUUCUUCCUGGGGAACCUCUCCUUCCUGGACAUCUGCUAUACAACCUCCUCAUCCUUGACAGCUUCCUGACCCCCAGGAAAACCAUCUCCUUCUCAGCCUGUGCAGUACAGAUGUUCCUCUCCUUUGCCAUGGGAGCCACAGAGUGUGUUCUCCUGAGCAUGAUGGCUUUUGAUCACUACCUGGACAUGUGCAACCCCCUUAGGUACCCUGUGGUCAUGAGCAAGGCUGCCUACAUGCCCAUGGCUGUUGGCUCCUGGGCAGCUGGUAUCACCAACUCUGUAGUACAGAUAUCCCUAGCAAUGUGACUGCCCUUCUGUGGGGACAAUGUCAUCAAUCACUUCACCUGUGAGAUCCUGGCAGUUCUAAAGUUGGCCUGUGCUGACAUCUGCAUCAACGUGAUCAGCAUGGUUGUGACCAACAUGAUCUUCCUUGCACUCCCAGUCCUGUUUAUUUUUGUCUCAUAUGUCUUCAUCAUUGCCACCAUCCUGAGAAUCCCCUCAGCUGAGGGGAGGAAAAAGGCCUUCUCCACCUGCUCUGCCCACCUCACUGUCGUGAUCGUCUUCUAUGGGAUGAUCCUCUUCAUGUAUGGGAAGCCCAAGUCUAAGGACCCAAUGGGAGCAGACAAACAGGACCUUGCAGACAAACUCAUCUCCAUUUUCUAUGGAGUGGUGACCCCCAUUCUCAACCCCAUCAUCUACAGCCCGAGGAACAAAGAUUUGAAAGCUGCUAUGAGGAACCUGGUGGCUCAAAAACACCUAACAGAGUGACUAUCACAGAUCCCCAGACUGCGAGAAUGCAUAACCUCCAAAUUCCUCAUUGUUCUUUUGGGGAAAUGGUAACCAGGGAGGACCUUAGACUGUCAAUAGAAAGAACCAUAAAAUUUCUGAGGCUGCUGGUUAGUUUGCUGGCUUUACACAGAAUCGUGCUGUGUCAUAUCAUAGCUAUAUUUUACUGACUAAAUCUUAAAUUCUUUGAUACAGAAUUUGAUGAAUAUCCAUAAGAGUUAUAGAGGUGGUCAAAAGAGACAAACAAACAAAAAUUUUAGUGGUACUGGGAUCUUGGAGGAUACAGGAUAUGGUUGGGCUCUGUGUCCCUGCCCAAAUCUCCUGUCGAAUUGUAAUCCCCAGUGUUGGAGGAGGGGCCUGGUAAGAGGUGAUUGGAUCAUGGGGGCAGAUUUCCCCCUUGCUGUUCUCAUGAUAGUGAGUCAGUUCCCAUGAGAUCUAGAUGUUUAAAAGUGUGUAGCACCUCCUGUUUCACCCUCUUCCUCCUACUCCAGCCAUGUAGGACAUGAUUGCUUCCCCUUUGCCUUCCGCCAUGAUUGUAAGUUUCCUGAGGCCUCCCCAGCCAUGCUUCCUGUACAGCAUGUGGAACAGCGAGCCAAUUAAACCUCUUUUCUUUGUAAAUUACCCAGUUUCAGGUAUUUCUUUAUAUCAUUGCAAGAAUGGAC